GGUUGUAUGAAAUGUAUGCAAAAGUAAUGUGCAAACCCAAUUUUGAGAGGGUGAUCAAUAAUGGUGAUAAGGUUUAAGGUUAAUAAUUGCUUCCACUGUGCGAAACUCGUUUCACAAGCAUCACCAUAGUCAUAUAAUGGAACUUUAUUAUGGACAGGAUACUCAUAAAAAACAUGUGGUAAGAAGAUCUUUAGCUUUCUGACGAGUGUGUGAAGAAAGAAUUCUCAACCUAGCUGCAGUACUUUUAGAAACAUAACAUUAUAUUUAUCAAACCUUAAAUUUUGAAUUCACUACUACUUGAGAUGCUACCAGAUAAACCAAUUAAGGACUGUACUCUGUUCUGACCUUUUUUCUUUAUUGUCUCUUGAAUUAACGUUGUCUCGGUGACCUUUUCUCACGAUUGGUUUUAUCCCUGUUUUGGAUUAUUUACCACUUCCAAUCCAAGCAGCAAUGUGAUUGCAGCUUAAAAUGGAUCUGAUUCUGUAGCAGAACGUGUGUUUUGGCCUAAUUCAACCAGCUAGAGACAGAAUAGCUAACAGCAAGGGACAUGAACUACUUGAAUCAGACAAUGAAAUGGGAAACAAACACCAAGAACAACCUGGUUGCCCCAUAGAAACAGUGAAGAACCAAAAACAGCAGCUACAAAACGAAAUCUGAGUAGCCACACUAUAGAGAUUUGAACACAAACAGAAAGUUGAAGAGGUGGUGGGUGUGAAACUUCUACUCAACCAAACAGAAAAAGAAAAAUAGAAGCAUAAAUGAAUUACCAUGAGGCAAGUUGCUCCACUGAUGCCUUCUGUAACCAGACAUCAUGUUAUUUCCAAUUGAAUGAGCAAACAACUUGAUUAACAGAAACACAGAGACCAAGAAAUUUGAUGACAGAUGUUUGUUGCUUCCAUUCUAAAAGAAUAUGGUGUUAAGAAGGGAGUUACUCCUUGCUCUCAACCAAGACAACAGGCAUAACUUCCCCAAGUUUAUGGUCCAGUUUUCCAGAUUCUAUGACGAGUAAAUCCUGGAGAAGGAUAACGUAAUGUUGUCGAACAUCUCCUGCACUUUUUUCUCCUCCAACCAUGGCUGCAACCACUUCCCACCGUUCAGGGUGUUGCUCAUCCACCACUGCCAAAGCUAGCUCAAACAACUUGUUCUCCUCCCAACUCCAACCGCAAAAGCUGUUAGCAAAAUCUUCCAUCGCACUCACUCUGGAUCCCUUCAGACCACUUUGAAGAAAUUGAGGAUUCUCUACUAAUUCUUUCACAUUAGGUGAUUUCAUGCUAUGUCUUCUUAGACAAAAUCUGACACCCCUUAUGAUCUCUGGGGAGUUAGAUGUUUGUAAUGACGUGCCAAAUAGUUUUCUUUCAAGUAUUUAAAGGGCUAUUUUUCUUUUCUAUUUUUA